UGGGGAAUCUUGGACAAUGGGCGCAAGCCUGAUCCAGCCAUGCCGCGUGGAUGAUGAAGGCCUUAGGGUUGUAAAAUCCUUUCGUGGGGGACGAUAAUGACGGUACCCCAAGAAGAAGCUCCGGCUAACUUCGUGCCAGCAGCCGCGGUAAUACGAAGGGGGCUAGCGUUGUUCGGAAUUACUGGGCGUAAAGCGUACGUAGGCGGUGACUCAAGUCAGAGGUGAAAGCCUGGAGCUCAACUCCAGAACUGCCUUUGAAACUAGGUCGCUAGAAUCACGGAGAGGUGAGUGGAAUUCCGAGUGUAGAGAUGAAAUUCGUAGAUAUUCGGAAGAACACCAGUGGCGAAGGCGGCUCACUGGACGUGUAUUGACGCUGAGGUACGAAAGCGUGGGGAGCAAACAGGAUUAGAUACCCUUGUAGUCCCUGAGCGGGCUGGCAAGGCGCAU
rnacentral:rRNA from 1 species